CAGCAGCCACGGGAAUACAGAGGGUGCAAGCGUUAAUCGGAAUUACUGGGCGUAAAGCGCGCGUAGGUGGUUCGCCAAGUUGGAUGUGAAAUCCCCGGGCUCAACCUGGGAACUGCAUCCAAAACUGGCGAGCUAGAGUAUGGUAGAGGGUGGUGGAAUUUCCUGUGUAGCGGUGAAAUGCGUAGAUAUAGGAAGGAACACCAGUGGCGAAGGCGACCACCUGGGCUCAUACUGACACUGAGGUGCGAAAGCGUGGGGAGCAAACAGGAUUAGAUACCCCAGUAGUCCCUGUCUCUUAUAC
rnacentral:rRNA from 1 species